rnacentral:rRNA from 1 species
CAGAGUUCAUGCCUAACGGGUAGACCUCCCACCCUUGUGUAAUUAUACUUUGUUGCUUUGGCGAAUUGCGUGACCUCUCGGGGUCUCGCCUCGAGCUUCACAGCCUGAGAGUCGUUCGCCAGAGGAUACCAAAACUCUGAAUAUUAAUGUCGUCUGAGUACUAUAUAAUAGUUAA